rnacentral:rRNA from 1 species
GGGUGAGUAAUGCAUCGGAACGUGCCCAGUAGUGGGGGAUAGCCCGGCGAAAGCCGGAUUAAUACCGCAUACGACCUACGGGUGAAAGGGGGGGAUCGCAAGACCUCUCGCUAUUGGAGCGGCCGAUGUCAGAUUAGGUAGUUGGUGGGGUAAAGGCCUACCAAGCCGACGAUCUGUAGCUGGUCUGAGAGGACGACCAGCCACACUGGGACUGAGACACGGCCCAGACUCCUACGGGAGGCAGCAGUGGGGAAUUUUGGACAAUGGACGCAAGUCUGAUCCAGCCAUGCCGCGUGCGGGAAGAAGGCCUUCGGGUUGUAAACCGCUUUUGUCAGGGAAGAAAUCUUCUGGGUUAAUACCUCGGGAGGAUGACGGUACCUGAAGAAUAAGCACCGGCUAACUACGUGCCAGCAGCCGCGGUAAUACGUAGGGUGCAAGCGUUAAUCGGAAUUACUGGGCGUAAAGCGUGCGCAGGCGGUUUUGUAAGACAGAGGUGAAAUCCCCGGGCUCAACCUGGGAACUGCCUUUGUGACUGCAAGGCUUGAGUGCGGCAGAGGGGGAUGGAAUUCCGCGUGUAGCAGUGAAAUGCGUAGAUAUGCGGAGGAACACCGAUGGCGAAG